UGGUGGCCAUUUUAAUCCUCCUUCUCCGCCUGCCGCCGCUCCGGCUCUUCCCGAUCCCCCUCCCUCCCAGGCCGGCCGCGCUCCGCCCCGCAGCCGCCGCCUUCCCGCGGGAAUGCGGUACCCGCCCACGCCCGGCCGGAAGGACCGCUGCUCUGACACGGGGGAGACCCGCGCCGCUUCACGCCCCAAAGGGGCCGGUGAGGUGUGGUUCUCUUCCAGGCAAGUGAACAAAAAGACUUGAAAUCUUUGGAAGACCUGGCCCCAAGAAUUCAUGCUGCAAUAAAGAGCACAUACCAUGCUCAUGUACCCUGCUGCUGCUAAGGAGCCAAGUCUUGCUUCCAUGAAAUGCAGAGAGAAAUGCAGCAAGUAGGAAAAGAUCCCGGAGCACUAAAAAAUCGGAGAAAACUGUUAUGCCAAGAGAGACUUACUUCCACUUCCUCACUCCUUUACCAGAGUAAACCACUUAAACUUUGCUGGUGAACAGAUCUGUUAUGCAACUUCUGAGUUCAUCCUGCAUAUCAAUGCCAGUUUCCCUCUGCCUCCAAGUAUGGAGAAAAGUGAAAAGAGCAAAUUCUUUUCUGCAGCUUCUUCCAAAAGAUUAUUGCAUGGCAAUAUGUAACAUUUCCUCAAAGAGUAAGAAUUUGUUAAAGAGAGCUUUCAAAGCUAUAUGCAAUAUUGCCUUCUGAUAACACUUGCUGUAUUACAUGCAUGCCUACUUUCUUAAGCAUCCAACUGACCUACAUACAAAUUAAUUACAUUUUCA